rfam:Felis catus isolate Cinnamon breed Abyssinian chromosome D2, whole genome shotgun sequence.
GCCUGAGUGGCUCAGUCGGUUAAGCAUCUGACUUUAGCUCAGGUCAUGAUCUCACAGUUGGUGGGUUUGAGCCCCGCAUCGGGCU